UGGCACCAGCACUGGCGGUGGC
rnacentral:miRNA from 3 species